rnacentral:lncRNA from 1 species
UGUUUUUAAAUCAUUUGAAGUAGUUGUUUUCCUUUGACCUGUUGCCGUUCGGUUGAGUAUUACUACGAAAAGGCGACAGGUGUAAAGGUUGAGCUUAGUCCUCAGGACGUGUAUCAGAACAUACAAGACAUGAAGAUAAAGAAGGAAUAUCCAUUCCGAACUGUUUUCAGUAUAUGAAAACUUAUGGCGUCGUUUCCGAAGAAUCAUGUCCCUACAGAGCAACUUAUAUAUGUCGCAGGCAAGACCGGGAACGGUUCUCCAACCGUGAGGUAGUUUGGUUUCUAAUAAAGUUUUCUCUCUAUCGUGUGUUUCUUAUUUGUAUUCGUACCCAAUGCUUUCUCUCUAUCGUGGGUUGAAUAUCAAAUUCAAUUCUAUGGGUUUGUAUUCCAAUUCUACAUGGGCAUGGGUUGAAUAUCAAAUCCAACUCUAUUGGAUGUUCAUUUU